rnacentral:rRNA from 1 species
AUUGAACGCUGGCGGCAGGCCUAACACAUGCAAGUCGAACGGUAACAGGAAACCGCUUGCUGUUUCGCUGACGAGUGGCGGACGGGUGAGUAAUGUCUGGGAAACUGCCUGAUGGAGGGGGAUAACUACUGGAAACGGUAGCUAAUACCGCAUAACGUCGCAAGACCAAAGAGGGGGACCUUCGGGCCUCUUGCCAUCGGAUGUGCCCAGAUGGGAUUAGCCAGUAGGUGGGGUAACGGCUCACCUAGGCGACGAUCCCUAGCUGGUCUGAGAGGAUGACCAGCCACACUGGAACUGAGACACGGUCCAGACUCCUACGGGAGGCAGCAGUGGGGAAUAUUGCACAAUGGGCGCAAGCCUGAUGCAGCCAUGCCGCGUGUAUGAAGAAGGCCUUCGGGUUGUAAAGUACUUUCAGCGGGGAGGAAGGGAGUAAAGUUAAUACCUUUACUCAUUGACGUUACCCGCAGAAGAAGCACCGGCUAACUACGUG